AGCUUUGACAUCAAGGGUGCGUUCACAUUUCAAAGGAUCAAAUACAUACACCAAUUUUUAACAUGUGGGCAAAUCAUGAUCAAUAAUCAAUGAUUUUAUUGAU